AGAGAGAGACAUGCGCGCAUAUCAAUAAGCGGAGGAAAAGAAACUAACUAGGAUUCCCUCAGUAACGGCGAGUGAAGCGGGAAGAGCUCAAAUUUGAAAUCUUAAAGGUUUCCCUUGACGAAUUGUAGUUUAAAGAAGUGUUUUCUGUUGGAGUUUUGGUAAAAGUUCUUUGGAAUAGGACAUCAUAGAGGGUGAGAAUCCCGUAUUUGACCAUUACUUUCAGCUUUGUGAUACACUUUCAAAGAGUCGGAUUGUUUGGGAAUGCAGUCCAAAAUGGGUGGUAAAUUUCAUCUAAAGCUAAAUAUUGGCGAGAGACCGAUAGCGAACAAGUACCGUGAGGGAAAGAUGAAAAGAACUUUGAAAAGAGAGUUAAACAGUACGUGAAAUUGUCAAAAGGGAAGCGUUUGACACCAGUGUUGUUUUCUCGAAAAUCAAUUAAAAAAGGCAGGAUUUUGUGUUGUAUUGACUUUAUCAGCUUUCUGCAGCUCUUUUCUUGUCUUUUUUAAUGCACUUUUCGUUUAACAAGUCAACAUCAAUUUCUUUUGUUGUAAAAGGGUCAUUGGAAGGUGGCUUUCUUUUCGGAGAAAGUGUUUAUAGCCUUUGGCCUCUGCAAUCGGAGAGAUUGAGGUCUGCAGCGUAGAUCCUUCGGGGUUAGAUACAUUUGUGCUAAGUUAUAGCCUUUCAUAGACAACUUGUUGACUAUGAUCAGUCAUGUAGCUUACUCGCUUAUGCUAUUUUACCUACGCUUAGGAUGUUGAUGUGAUACUGCGAGC
rnacentral:rRNA from 1 species